CAGAUCAUAUAUGCAGCCGGGUGCCUUGGUUGCGCACUUGUAUUCAGGUGGCGCUGAGUCAGAUUUCGGCGCAGACGACGCCCGAACACUUUCUCAUCAUCGACCAGCACAACAUGAACGCCGUCGCUUGCCGCCUGAAGGGCCAGUCCGCCAAUGACGUCACGUACGGGCAGCUGAAGGUGGUGCAGUUGUGCGACGGAGUCGACGACUGUCUAGGCGGCGCUGACGAGCAGCCGCGAGCGUGCAACUUCAAAGAGAGAGCGACGAUGAUGAAGAAGGUGCAUGACGAGAUGGAAUCAGUGGCCAGGGAAAACCAUUUGUAACGAGGAACGACUACCGUGUACGAAAUGCCAUGGUGGUGUUUUCAAGAUUCUAGCACAGCGGAUAAGAAAGAGAAAGAACGGCCUCUUAUGCUUGGCGGAUAUACAUUUUAUAACACCAGCUCUCUGGAACUAUUUAAUAUUCAUAUUCAUACCAGCAAUCUCAUGAAGCGUGCUAGUUGUAAAACAAGACUGAUCCAAUCUGUAUUGCAUAGCGCUAUAAACCAGCGGUGAAUAACCGCUUGCACCGAACGUCAAAUUCGUUCUCACCACAUUUACAUUUACAUUUAAUUAGAUUACGCUGGUUGUUAUUCUAGUAUAAGACCGGUUUUCUUUAGCGUUUUUGACGUUUCGUGGCUCAAACAGAAUUCAACUUGGAAUAAUAAUGUAUAUGAAGACUGUUUCUCCGAUGAUUUGCUGUUACGGCCGUCCGCAUUGUUGCACUGUGCAAGUUUCCAUUUUCAAUGGCAUUGUUUUUUUUUCCCGAUCGCACAUGCACGUUCUAAAUUUGGGACCGGCCAGAGAAAAAUCGCUAAAUUAUCAUUAGACUCAUAGCCUUCUCCCAUCUCUCUCAUGCGUGUCUUCCUGGUUCUCCUUGCCCGCGCUAGUAUAUGCCGCCAAGCAGUUCUUUCAUCAAAAGUCCUUUCACAGCAAAAAACCUUUCUCCUUUUCACCGCGGUUUGCUAUCUACGUUUUGUAUAGUAACUUUGUACAUUUUUGCAUACAUCGUAUGUUUGCCAUACAAUGUAUAACUUGUAAAUAUUUGACAGAAGGGGUUCAGUGGAUUGAGCGGACACGGAUCGGUAAAAUGCUUGAAGGCCUGUCUCUACUUAGAAAACCAUUUUUGUCUAUGAUGACGUUUCAUGGUGCCUCAUCUACCACUCACUUCAAAGCAGGUUAAUUAUUGUCCUUCUGUUAUCUAGUUGGGAAUAUGGGGCUCUUUCUGCAAAUCCGUUUUAUAUUUUACAUUUUUAUAUCACAAAGAUAUUUUACACCGACUCUGCAUUGAUAAAUAUUGUUCACGAAUAUUGCGUUGUAAUAUAUAUUUUCAAUCUAGAAUGUGAUAGUUCGGGUAACUAUGAUUAUUGCAGAUAGGCAAGAUAUCUUAAACGGCUGCGACACGUGUAAUGUUGUUUAGAUAUGCUGUGUGCUUGCAAAACUGGAAGUAGAAAUAUUUUGUGUCGACAAAGAUAUUUAACAUUCCAACGCUAUUUUUAUUACAUUGUACGUUACUUCUGCUUUGAUAACUUUUCAGUACUACAUUACUAUGCAGACUAAAUACUGUUUGAAUAUUUUUUGAAAACGAAUUCUUGAUAGAUUCAAUUUUGCUCCGUUCAACAAAGAACAAGUAGCAGGCAAUUAUAAACUAUUAGCAGUUGUAGCGAAUUUAUAUGCGAGCUUCAUCUUAUUUUGUUGACGUACAAUCGUGCGUCAAACAAAAUGUCAAAACAAACAUUGGAUUGCCCGAAUUUUUAUACAAAAAUUAUAAUUGAACAAUGUUUUGUUUGUAAUAUAGCCA
rnacentral:misc_RNA from 1 species